UCUGCGGUGGCGGGCUGGCCACUUGCUCCGAGAGUACGGGAUUUAUGGUUCUGGCGUGCCAGGAGGAAACGCCUCGUUGCCAGAUGGAAUUCAGACCCGGAGUGCGUUUGCUUCCCGGGGCCAAGAGACAAGGACCGGGCAGGAUCAGGAAGAGGACAAUUUCUCCAUCGAGUUUGUGAAAGGGGGAAACGGAGAAUGAGCCAAGUUGGAGGUCAAGGGCCAAGCCUGGAGAUACGAUCAGAGGCCAAGAGGAAAGGAAACACAGGCGUGAUAAGUGAUGUGGCGGUGAGGACAGAGGGAGAACCCCAAGCGCGUGUCAGGGAAAGGGUGGGGGGACAGUUCACUGUGUCAACUGCCCCAAGGCAGGCGAGGAGGAUUUACAUGAUGAAAGACGUGUGUCCAGACUUACUGGUUGAGUACCUAUUACGUACAGGUGCUAGUCACAAGGUGAGCAAGACAGAGAGAGACAGAGAGAGAGAGAGAGAGAGAGAGAGAGAAAACAUGUGUCCUCUGGCCUCGCGGAGUUUCCAGUCUAGAGAAGACAGCAGGCACUCGUCAGAACCAACUCACACGGUCCUAAAGGCAGAGUCAUCUCUGAGCCCCAGCCUCUGUCCUGGAGGAAGUCAGCUGAAAGAGGGAGGACAGACAGAGAGCCCAUCGAUUAAGCGGUGAUGUGAUGGGCCCUGUACGGGGUGGCCGGGCCUCCGAGGGAUGGCAGGGCAGGGGGCCCCCACUGGACAGUUUCUGAGAGGAGCCGCCCGUGCAGGCGUGGAAGAGGAGGAGCAGGGAGGACUCCCGGAGAGCCGGAGCAUAAGCUAACGGGCCUUGGAGCAGCCGUGGGGAGCCGAGCAGGGACGGUCUGCAGAAAGAUUCGCAAGUGAACCCGCGGGGCUCAAGGCCUGGGUGGCCGGGAGGGGGCUGUGGGUGCUGGUCAGGGGCGAGGACCCUGAAGGAAGCAGGAGGACAAAGAGUGUGGUCCCCCACCCCGCCCCCUACCGGGACCAGGCCCCGCCCCAGCCUGCUGGAUGUGGAUGUGGAUUUCACCGAGAUUCCCAGGGCUCGCGGGGCACGUGGCCACUGGAGAUGCGCCGGCAGCGUGGACCCUAGCAGAUACGAGCACGGCUCAAGGAGCUCGCGCUCUGUCCCCACGGGGAGCAGGGGACAGGCCGGUGGCCGUGGCGCCGGGCAGCACUGGCGCGGGAGCGUCCUGGCAGAUGCGGGGGCGGUGGGGGGCUCCGGAGGCGCGGGGCGCACACCUGUACACGGCGUAGGUGUGGUACUCGUUCAGGUAGUCGAUGCGGUCCUCCAGCUUGUUGCUGCGGUGGCUCUUGUCGAUGCUGAGGACGAAGAGGUCGAUGUAGGCGUCCAGCGAGAACUGGUACAUGGGGUCGAUGCGGCCCAUGUCGUUGAGCACGAAGAACAGAACCGACGCCCUCUGGGCACACGGGCGCUGCUCGGAUCACCCUCGGUGGCGGUCAUCUUGGAGGUACGAAGGGUGUUCACCAGCUGCACGUCGUCGAGCAGGGAGCCCGUGGCCUCAUUCAGCAGCCUGAAGGGAAGCGCAGCUCCUUGAGCUUCUUCUUGCCGGCAGCGAUGUUGAUGACCAGUGAGUCCUUCUGUUCCUCCAGCUCCGGCCGCUCCUUCCGGACCACGAUGCCCAGCAGCUGAGCCGCCAGGCCCUGGGAGCACGGGGACGCGCGGUGGGACUCGCGCUCUGGUGACGGCACAGCCCUGGCACCCGGUCACGCCUCCCCCCCCCCCCCCCCCCCCCCCCCCCCGCCUCAUCCCCUGCCGCCCAGCGCAGGGGGCCUUUGUCUCCACCCCGCCCUCGACUCUCCGGGUGCUUCCUGCUCCUCGCUAGCUGGGUCCAGGCUGCAGCCCCCGCCCCCACCUGUUCCUUGACAGCAAAGUUGACGAUGGUGGUCUUGGCCGAGGUCUCAGGGCUGUAGUGGGGGUUGGAGAGCUUGGUGGUGAUGUAGAAACGGAAAUUGCUGUUGUACUCCACCUCCUUGUCUGCAAUGCGCAUCAGCAGCCGGCCGCCUGCAGCCGGGCCAGGGUCAAGGGCAAAGGAGCCCUGGUGACCAGGUGCGGGCUGGCCCAGCCCCCAGCCCACAUCCAGCUGCCCUAAUGGGCCCAGCCCGGGGCUGUGUGAGCGGAGGGCCACGGUCUGAGGGCCGGCCCUCCCCCCCAACCCCUCACCUCGUGGCCCAGCUGGCUGGUCUCCAGGAUUUGUCCCCCAGCCCAACCCCAUAGGAAGCCUGGACCCUCACCGAUUCGAGCUACAGAUUUGUUGAGCACAGGGUUAAGCGUGGGGUCCAGAUACUCCUGAACGUUCUGGAGCAGCACUGGAUAUCCAAACUGGAUGGCCUUUUCUAGAAUUUGAAGGGCCUGGGCCUGAGGGUCAAUCAUCAGUGCCCACCUGAAGGAGGGCGGUCAGUCAGAAGACAGGCUCCGCCCUUGCCCCGCCCCCGCUCCCGGCAGCCUCCUUACCUGUU